rnacentral:rRNA from 1 species
UGGGGAAUAUUGGGCAAUGGGCGAAAGCCUGACCCAGCAACGCCGCGUGAAGGAAGAAGGUUUUCGGAUUGUAAACUUCUGUCCUCAGGGAAGAAGGAAGUGACGGUACCUGAGGAGGAAGCCCCGGCUAACUACGUGCCAGCAGCCGCGGUAAUACGUAGGGGGCGAGCGUUGUCCGGAAUGACUGGGCGUAAAGGGCGCGUAGACGGCUGUCUAAGUCUGGAGUGAAAGUCCUGUUUUUAAGGCGGGAAUUGCUUUGGAGACUGGAUGGCUUGAGUGCGGAAGAGGUAAGUGGAAUUCCCAGUGUAGCGGUGAAAUGCGUAGAGAUUGGGAAGAACACCAGUGGCGAAGGCGACUUACUGGGCCGUAACUGACGUUGAAGCGCGAAAGCGUGGGGAGCGAACA